AUGGAUGAGGACUUGGAACAUGCCCUUCUGCUUUGCUCUCAUGCCCGCUGGUUUUGGGAGGAAGCCCGACUGCUCUUUGACAUACACGUGCCACGGCUCCGUCCUCAAUCAUGGACAAGGGAUAUCUUAUGCGAUCAGAGUUUUCCUGAAAACGACAGAGCGAUCAUUGUCGCGGUGAUGUCGGCCGUUUGGAUGUCUCGCAAUCGCUUGACGCAUGACCUGGAAAGGAUAGAUCCAGCCAGCUCAAUCAAUACAGACACUGUAGUUCAUCUUGAUGAUGGCAACGUUGGAGCGGGGGGUUGUCGGGCCGCUCUUCUUCGAGAUUCAAGGGUGCAUGGUCAUUGCUGGGCAUGUCACGCGAUCCUAGUUCGUAGACCCCCGGGGCCCUGCUUACAUUCCUUCCGUGGAUCGUCCUUCGCUUCUUCUCCGCCACAGCGCACCAAUCCCCAAGCCUUCGUCCUCACUCCUCACGCGGCCACAGACGCAUUUCCCCAGAGGAGUCCGACUGCAUCCACAGUCCGCGCUCGUGCUGCGCCCACGUCCGAGGGACCCACCACCGGCCCCGCCUCCGCCUCCAUAACUCCAUUAACUACCUUGAAGUCGAGCUUGCCUUCAAGAGUCGAGCCAUCGCCAGUUCACCACCUUGCAGUUACAGUCGUCACACUCCCCCGCCGUCUCCGCAUGCCACAACUAGUAAUAGCUCCACCGCCUGUUCUGCUCCUCGUCCCUUUCUUGCUUGCUCGAUGCAACGGCCGGAAUUGA
rnacentral:rRNA from 1 species